CAAACGACUCUCGGCAACGGAUAUCUCGGCUCACGCAUCGAUGAAGAACGUAGCAAAAUGCGAUACUUGGUGUGAAUUGCAGAAUCCCGUGAACCAUCGAGUUUUUGAACGCAAGUUGCGCCCGAAGCCAUCUGGUUGAGGGCACGUCUGCCUGGGCGUCACAC
rnacentral:rRNA from 3 species